UGGGAACAUAUCCCAGUGCCCUUGCCUCA
rnacentral:piRNA from 1 species